CACACUCACAACACAGCGAGACGCGCACACUGACUGACUGUCUGUCUGCAGCCGCGGAGCUCCGGCCGCACGAAUCCGGUCGGAAAGGAUUCCUUCCAUUUUUACGCGCAACUUUUGCUCCGUCUCAGCCGCGACGUUUCCUCCCGCUGCCCCUCGACUCUUGUGGAUUUCUAACAACCGUCUCCUCGCCUCUCGGCGGACAACCAUCGAGGUGUCAAGCCCGGAAUCGGAUCUCCUGUCACCGGGUUUGCUUGUUGUCAUUUUCGCUCGGAGACGGAGGCGCGCAGCCGGAGCGCAGCGCAGACUGAAGCGGCUGUGACCAGUGUCGGACUUAAUAAAGCGGACCAGGUGGCCGACAGUUCACCAGGGCUGAGAUUAUGGCACCAUGUCACAGGUGUUCCUUCCCUGGUCCAGGAAUCAGG